rnacentral:tRNA from 1 species
UUUAAAGUGACAGAAAAAUGUAUUAAAUUUAAGAUUUAACUAUGGGUGUACCCCUUUAAAA